rnacentral:tRNA from 7 species
GCUACUGUGGCUCAGGGGUAGAGCAGCUCACUCGUAAUGAGCAGGUCGUCGGUUCAAAUCCGACCAGUAGCUCCA